GCUGGGCAUGGUGGCGCGUGCCUGUAGUCCCAGCUACGCGGGAGGCUGAGGCACAAGAAUCGCUUGAGCCCCAGAGGCAGAGAUUGCAGUGAGUCAAGAUUGCACCACUGCACUCUAGCUUGGGCUACAGAGUGAGACUCUGUCUCAA
ensembl:misc_RNA Metazoa_SRP Metazoan signal recognition particle RNA